GCGGAGGGAAGCUCAUCGAUGGGGCCACAAGCUGAGUGCGUUUAGUCACUCCAUCGCAUGUCCCUUGGGAAGGUCUGAGACUAGGGCCAAAAGCGGCCCUAACAGGGCUCUCCCUGAGCUUCGGGGAGGUGAGUUCCCAGAGAACGGGGCUCCGCGCGAGGGCAGACUGGGCAGGAGAUGCCAUCGACCCCGCCCUUGCGGAGGGGGCCUGGCGGAUGCCUCCUUAGCCGGAGCUUGGAACAGACUCACGGCCAGCGAAGUGAGUUCAAUGGCUGAGGUGAGGUACCUCGUAUGGGGGCCUCAUAACCCAAUUCAGACUACUCUCCCCCCCGU
ensembl:ribozyme RNaseP_nuc Nuclear RNase P